UGAAAUGACGAAUGACAAACCAACAAAAACUAACCAUUUUACAGCUUUGAAGGUAUGCUUCCUGUGAUGAUAAAUAAUUCUAUCGGUGGCCAUACCCAGCAGCUGGUGGCCUCUUACCAGGUGGAGGCCUAGGCCCCCUAUUUCCAUAACUAUGAGGUGGUGGCUGGUGAAAACCACCAGCUCCACCAGGUGGCGGCUGCAUUGGCCUCCUAUUUGCUCCACCAUGAGUUAAAUGCUGUGGCGGCCUCCUACUAGGACCACUGGCACCAGAUGGUGGCAUCCUACCUCCUCUUGAGUCUAAUGCAGAAUAUCUGUUACCCCCUUGUUGGUGGUGAUUAUAACCUCUAGGAACAUUCUGAUCAACCAGAGGAGGGAAACCAUCACCCCACUGUUGACUACCAACUCCAGGUGAUUGAUGGCUCUGAUAGCCAUCAUAACCACCUUGAAAACCAUAGGCAGUGGCCCCAGAUGAUAUUUGAGUAAUGGAACCAUGGCGGUGCCGUGGUCCACUAUUCUGAUGAAAUUCUGGUGGGUUAUAUACCUGCCUUGAAUGCUGUCCACUUGAUCGGUUAUCUCUUUCAUAUUGAGGAUUAAACCCAUUAUAAUGGGGGUUGGCACCUGAAGAAGCAUAGGGCUGACCGUAACCUUGGUUAUAGUGAGUAAGAUUUGAAGACCUAUGUUGACCAGCAUGUGAAUAAUCCCUUCUAGGUUGCACAUUUCCAUGUCUUCCAGGAUCAUGCAACCCAUUUGUAUAGGAAUAGUGUGAUGUGACAUGAGCAGCAGCAGCAUAAGGUGGUGGUGAGGCAUGAAAAUGAUUGGCAUAACCAUUGCGAUCUACCUUUAAUUGUAAACUAUUAACGACAAGUCGAUGUGAUGCUUCCCCAAGCUGACGGCCAGAGAUAGUUCCAGGGGGGUUAUGCCUUUCACUUUCCCAAGGCCUCCUCCCAGAAUCUUCAUGCCACAGAACAGGUUCAGGUUUCAGAUCCCCUGCAUUUACCAUCUUCUUGGGGAGUAUGACCCCAACAGGUGGUCGGGUUAUGUGUUUAUGUGGGUCAGGGAGCCUGUAUAUAGCACAUACUACUUCAUUGUCCAAAAUGUCUUCCAUCCCUGCAACCGGAGACCUGAAUAUAGGAGGAUGAGUAUCUCCAGAGCAAGGGGAUAUGUAGCCAUUCAUCCCAUCACUUAACUCAGGAUUAACGCGUUCCUUGACGUCAACUCGUUCUUUGUCCGUUAAUUGUUUAUAGUGAUUAUCAAGUAAAU
rnacentral:misc_RNA from 1 species